rnacentral:rRNA from 1 species
CCAAUAGCGUAUCUUAAAGUUGUUGCAGUUAAAAAGCUCGUAGUUGAAUUUUGGGUUUGGCCGAUUGGUCCGUUCUUGUAACGAGUACUGGUCGGUUGGGCCUCACCGCCUGGUGAUGCGUAAUGUCCUUUAUUGGGUGUUGCGAGUAGCCAGGACUUUUACCUUGAAAAAAUUAGAGUGUUUAAAGCAGGCUUAUGCCGGAAUACAUUAGCAUGGAAUAAUAGAAUAGGACGAUGAUUCUAUUUUGUUGGUUUCUAGGACCAUCGUAAUGAUUAAUAGGGAUAGUUGGGGGCAUUAGUAUUCAAUUGUCAGAGGUGAAAUUCUUGGAUUUAUUGAAGACUAACUACUGCGAAAGCAUUUGCCAAGGAUGUUUUCAUUAAUCAAGAACGAAAGUUAGGGGAUCGAAGACGAUCAGAUACCGUCGUAGUCUUAACCAUAAACUAUGCCGACUAGGGAUCGGGCGAUGUUGUUUCAAUGACUCGCUCGGCACCUUAUG